rnacentral:rRNA from 1 species
UACAGAGGGGGCAAGCGUUGUUCGGAAUUACUGGGCGUAAAGGGCGCGUAGGCGGCCCGCUAAGUCGAACGUGAAAUCCCCGGGCUUAACCCGGGAACUGCGUCCGAUACUGGCAGGCUUGAAUCCGGGAGAGGGAUGUGGAAUUCCAGGUGUAGCGGUGAAAUGCGUAGAUAUCUGGAGGAACACCGGUGGCGAAGGCGGCAUCCUGGACCGGUAUUGACGCUGAGGCGCGAAAGCUAGGGGAG